CCCGUGAUAUCAUUAAAAUCAUCGCAGCAUUCUGAAGUAUUCAGAGCAAUAGAAUUGUUAGUGGCGUAGAGAAGCUCUAACUGGUCGGCCUUGAUGGGGGAGUGAGUGAGGCUGGCGGCGAGAGGGUAAAAGUUGCGGAGGGUGAGGGAAAGUGAGUACUUGAGGUGGGGGAGUAUGGUACCCAUGAAGUGCUCGGUAGUGUGAGGAAAGGAAUAGAAGUAGAGUACUUCGACUGGAGGAUCGUCUAGGUGAAUAAUGUCAAAGAAGGUGAGAGGAAGAGGUGGAGGGGG
rnacentral:misc_RNA from 1 species